UACGAAGGGUGCAAGCGUUAGUCGGAAUUACUGGGCGUAAAGCGUGCGUAGGCGGUCUCUUAAGUCCGUUGUGAAAGCCCUGGGCUCAACCUGGGAACUGCAGUGGAUACUGAGAAGCUAGAGUGUGUCAGAGGAUGGUGGAAUUCCCGGUGUAGCGGUGAAAUGCGUAGAGAUCGGGAGGAACAUCAGUGGCGAAGGCGAGUCUCUGGACGAAUCCUGACACUGAGGCACGAAAGCCAGGGGAGCAAACAGG
rnacentral:rRNA from 1 species